CCUACGGGAGGCAGCAGUGGGGGAUAUUGCACAAUGGGGGGAACCCUGAUGCAGCGACGCCGCGUGGGUGAAGGAGUGCUUCGGCAUGUAAAGCCCUAUCGGCAGGGAAGAAGCAAGACGGUACCUGACUAAGAAGCCCCGGCUAACUACGUGCCCGCAGCCGCGGUACUACGGAGGGGGCGAGCGUUAUCCGGAUUCACUGGGUGUAAAGGGAGCGUAGACGGCCAUGCAAGCCAGGGGUGAAAGCCCGGGGCUCAACCCCGGGACUGCCCUGGGAACUGGAUGGCUGGAGUGCGGGAGGGGCAGGCGGAAUUCCUGGUGGAGCGGUGAAAUGCGUAGAUAUCAGGAGGAACACCGGCGGCGAAGGCGGCCUGCUGGACCGCGACUGACGUUGAGGCACGAAAGCGUGGGGAGCGAACAGGAUUAGAUACCCUAGUAGUC
rnacentral:rRNA from 1 species